rnacentral:rRNA from 1 species
CCUACGGGCGGCUGCAGUCGAGAAUCAUUCACAAUGGGGGAAACCCUGAUGGUGCGACGCCGCGUGGGGGAAUGAAGGUCUUCGGAUUGUAAACCCCUGUCAUGUGGGAGCAAAUUAAAAAGAUAGUACCACAAGAGGAAGAGACGGCUAACUCUGUGCCAGCAGCCGCGGUAAUACAGAGGUCUCAAGCGUUGUUCGGAAUCACUGGGCGUAAAGCGUGCGUAGGCUGUUUCGUAAGUCGUGUGUGAAAGGCGCGGACUCAACCCGCGGACGGCACAUGAUACUGCGAGACUAGAGUAAUGGAGGGGGAACCGGAAUUCUCGGUGUAGCAGUGAAAUGCGUAGAUAUCGAGAGGAACACUCGUGGCGAAGGCGGGUUCCUGGACAUUAACUGACGCUGAGGCACGAAGGCCAGGGGAGCGAAAGGGAUUAGAUACCCCUGUAGUC